rnacentral:tRNA from 1 species
GGGGUUGUAGCUCAGUGGCAGAGCACUUGCCUGGCAUGUGUGAGGCACUGGGUUCAAUCCUCAGCACCA